rnacentral:rRNA from 1 species
GAUGAAUGCUGGCGGCGUGCCUAACACAUGCAAGUCGAGCGGCAGCGAGUUUUCCACUGAAUUCUGGAAGCUUCUGAGUAGUACAGAAGAUUUAUUCAAGAGUUUUGUGUAAAAUGUCGGCGAGCGGCGGACGGCUGAGUAACGCGUAGGAAUUUGCCCCAAAGUGAGGAAUACCUGUCCGAAAGGGUAGCUAAUGCCGCAUAUGGUCUUCGGAUUAAAGCCUUCGGGCGCUUUGGGAGAAGCCUGCGUUGGAUUAGGUAGUUGGUAGGGUAAUGGCCCACCAAGCCGACGAUCCAUAGCUGGUCUGAGAGGAUGAUCAGCCAGACUGGAACUGAGACACGGUCCAGACUCCUACGGGAGGCAGCAGUGAGGAAUCUUCCAAAAUGGGCGAAAGCCUGAUGGAGCAACGCCGCGUGAAGGAUGAAGGCCUUCGGGUUGUAAACUUCUUUUAUGAGUGAAGAAUAUGACGGUAACUCAUGAAUAAGCACCGGCUAACUACGUG